rnacentral:rRNA from 1 species
CACAUGCAGUCGAGCGGAUGAAGGGAGCUUGCUCCUGGAUUCAGCGGCGGACGGGUGAGUAAUGCCUAGGAAUCUGCCUGGUAGUGGGGGAUAACGUCCGGAAACGGGCGCUAAUACCGCAUACGUCCUGAGGGAGAAAGUGGGGGAUCUUCGGACCUCACGCUAUCAGAUGAGCCUAGGUCGGAUUAGCUAGUUGGUGGGGUAAAGGCCUACCAAGGCGACGAUCCGUAACUGGUCUGAGAGGAUGAUCAGUCACACUGGAACUGAGACACGGUCCAGACUCCUACGGGAGGCAGCAGUGGGGAAUAUUGGACAAUGGGCGAAAGCCUGAUCCAGCCAUGCCGCGUGUGUGAAGAAGGUCUUCGGAUUGUAAAGCACUUUAAGUUGGGAGGAAGGGCAGUAAGUUAAUACCUUGCUGUUUUGACGUUACCAACAGAAUAAGCACCGGCUAACUUCGUGCCAGC